rnacentral:rRNA from 1 species
UACGUAGGGUGCAAGCGUUGUCCGGAAUUAUUGGGCGUAAAGAGCUUGUAGGCGGUUUGUCGCGUCUGCUGUGAAAAUCCGGGGCUCAACCCCGGACUUGCAGUGGGUACGGGCAGACUAGAGUGUGGUAGGGGAGACUGGAAUUCCUGGUGUAGCGGUGAAAUGCGCAGAUAUCAGGAGGAACACCAAUGGCGAAGGCAGGUCUCUGGGCAGUUACUGACGCUGAGGAGCGAAAGCAUGGGUAGCGAACAGGAUUAGAUACCCGGGUA